rnacentral:misc_RNA from 1 species
CGGAACGAUUCGCCGGCACCCGAGCCAGCAGCUGCAACAACAGCAGCCCGUCGAUGCGCCGUCGACACGGUUUUGGCGCGAUGGCAACCGAAUGACAUUGUCUACGACCGAUGUUCGUCCCAUCCCCAUCACGACAGUGGGCACCCUCACCUGCAGCGACAAGGAGCAGAACUUCAACGUCAACGUGAAGCAGCGCGUACGGCCCAGCGCCAACUCCGCCAGCUGCUCCCUCAACACCUCGAGUAUGACGAUGCCGGUGGUCCAGUCCGUUUCACCUGCGCCGACCAGCGCUUCGGCGAUGGCGCACGUCUCCAGUAUCCCUGAGGCAGCCUUACCCGUGUCACUUGGUGCCGCCUCCAACGCGCCCCGCUUCGCCACGAGCGGCGGCUCGGCCUCGGAGGACCGCAGUUCGUGUGGGCCUUCAUCGCAACAACUCGAUCGCCGCUGCGCUGAUGUGGCAGCGAGCACCCCCAGCAGGGCAGAUGGCAUCGAGCUGACAGGUCAGCGGAGGAGCGAGCCUGAAGUGAGCCCCUUCACCCCGUGCCAUUACCCUUCAAAGACCCUGUACUAUCAGCACCCGCAGCAGCAGCCGUACGGCUACGGCGUACACGCCCGACCUUACCCACUGCAGCAGCAUCACCAGCAGGCUUACGUUUAUGGUGGUUACCCGAGCCACAACUACCCUGCUAUGCCUCCUCAGCAGGGCUACUACGCACAGAUAACCGCACCGCCAAAGCAGCAGCAGCAGUACUACGCUCCGCCAGCGCCGAACAGCAGCCUGGCCAUGCUCGGAAGCGCGGCUGACGGUGCUCCUAGCCGAACUUUUGCAGAAGUGGCGUACGCAUCAAUGCCACCGCCGGCGCAGGCCCCUUACAUGGCCAGCGCCGGGGCAAUGAUGGGUCCGUACAGUUAUCUGCCGAUGCCGCCGAUGGCGCACUACGCUGGCGUUGCCCUUGGCAGCUUUGCGGACGUGCAGAGCGCUACACAGCGGCAAACUUCCGGGAAUGUUGCGGCUCACGUUCAGCACACCCAGGCGUUGGCGGUGGUGGCCGCCGAUCCCACCCCCGCCGCCGCUGCCUGUGCCCUGGGCAAGCCCACAAAGGCCAAAUCGCAGCACGCGGACCCACCACAGCAGCAUCAUCAGAGCGCCAAGAAGGUCGCCGCCCCCGACUCCGUCUCAAGCUUGGCGUCAACUCUCACCACGGCCUCGAAGGCCGGCACGCAGUCCGUGUCGACCGUGACCCGCACUUCGGCGGCGCUAAAACCGGCCAGGUCGUCCUCGAAGAAGCUCCCCAAGAAUCAAGACGAUGCGCGCUUUCACGUGAACCGUGACGCACCAGUUCGCUUGUUUGUGGUCGUGAAGCGCAAGAGAGAAGGUCAGCGGUACGCUUGCGCCCUCACCCCUGAGGAGGUGCCGGUGGGCAGCCACAUGCUUGUGGAGGGAGACCGCGGUGCCGACAUUGGCGAGGUGGUCCGCCACGUGUCAAUGGAGCAAAUGGCUCGCGACUGCGCCAUCGUGGAGCGGCUGCGACAGCGAGCGGUGGAGCGAAUGCCAGGGGGCAAGGAAGGCAUCGUCGGCAACGCGCAUGACGACGCUGCCAACGCCGGCCUCGACGAGGCCGAUUUGCCGCAUCUGACGGGAGAAGCUGCUCGGGAGUACGUCAUGUCACUCAAGACGUGGCCGUGGCUGAUUGGACCAGCCACGGCGGAGGACAUGGCGAGUCUGGGGCCGCAGCUCGAGGCCGAGAAGCAAGCCUACGCCACCGCUAAGCCGAUCGUGCAACAGUUCAUCGAAAACCGCUACCUGCAGCGCGUCGCGCGCAACGAGGCAGCACUGGCGGCGGCCGCCGCUACUGCCGAGGGGUCUAAGACGGCCGACGCCGUGGCUGCUGUGGCUGAGCAGUCGGGAGAGUGCAGCGCCGAUCACGCCUCCACAGACGACGGCGAUCGGCGUCGAAACGUGACACCUCUGUCGGUGGAAGAGCUGAAGAUGCUCGAACUGAGCCGCGAGGUCACGCUGCUCGACUGCGAGUAUCAAUUCACACGCGAGAAGAUCACACUGUACGUCAGCCGCCCGUCUCGCAACAUUUUCGUAGACUUCCGCAGCAUGCAGCGCAAGCUCUUCCGCACCUUCCGCUGUCGAAUCUGGAUCGCCUACAUGGACGAGGUGACGCACGAUAAGGACGCACCGGAGUCGUUUGUUUUUGUGCCCUCUCCGUCCACGCCCUUCGCUGCCGCCGCGCCGACGCGCGGCGAUGCCAAGGACACAAAGGAUGUGGUGUGAAGCAGCAGAUAGAAUUGCAGUACGGCCACACCAAGAGUUAGCACUUUGGAGUGUCUUCCACCCAAUCACCACCACCACGGCCCGUCCUCCCCCUCCCGUACAAAGACUGACACGCUAACAUCCGCCCUUUCUCCGCCUGCCUCUCCAUACGCCCCUUCGAUUCUGCGCCUCGUUCUGCCAUACAGGACAGGGGACUCGCGGGCGAAAAGGGGCGCAAGACGAAGGGCAGCAAACGCCGCAGCCCUCCCCACCCACCCACCCACCCCCCUCUCCCGCGCGAUCAGCGUGGGAAUACUGCGAUGGGCGAGGCUCGAGGCAUCCAUGCGUGCGUAUGGGCACAAACAAGGAACAUCCUUCACCCUCUCACCGAAACGAAAGCGUUCAUUUUUUUCACCCUAUUCCUCCCCGUCCUCCACCCCUUCCUUCGUCUCUCCCCCUUGUGAACAG